CAGCUCCAGUUCAGUUCUGGCCCCAGCUCAUUUGAGGUUCUGUCCCAGGACCAGCUCGUUUGCAGCUCCAGCCCAUGGAUGGCUCUGGCUCUUUUGCAGCUCCAGGUCCAGCUCCUGGACGGCUCCAGUUCAGUUCUGGCCCCAGCUCAUUUGUGGUUCCCAUCUCAGGCCCAGCUCGUUUGCAGCUCCAGCCCAUGGAUGACUCUUGAUCAUUUCAGCUCCAGUUGGUUGUGGUUCCAGCUCGUUUGCAGCUUCAGGUCCAGCUCCAGUUCAGUUUCGGUUCCAGCUCGUCUCCUCUCCAGUGCAGUUGGUCUCCAGCUCCAUUUGGUGCCUCAGCUUCACUCCAACUGAUUCCCAGUUCCGGGGUGUCUGUGCCUCCAGCUCCAGCCCAGUAGAGCUCGUGCUUGGUCCAGUGAUCCUGGCUUUUGGCCAGGCCGUAAAUCAAUCACUGUCACCUCUUGGAUAUGAAUAUGACCUGUCAUAACUGCGCGCGCGUUGAGUCAGUGGUUUGUGUUCGGUGUUUAUUACGUGUGUACCUUGAAUAAAGAGUUGGACGAAG